ACCUUUUUUGACCAAUAAAAGCAAACUACAAAUGUCAAACAUUGGGGGUAUUGUAAAUUAGAGCUCUAAAACUAUUUUGGAUUGAUAACUUUUAAGCUUCGGCGCCGGUAGCUUAAUUGCACAUUUUCGCAUUAUUUUCUUCAAAAUUGAUGCACAUCAUCGUAAACGUCUUGGGCAUUGCGAUACUUAAUUGCACAGAACGGUUAACUGUAUCUGUUUUGCGUACUGCCACAAAAGUAGCAAAUUCUUCAGUUUGUCAUCAUAAAAAAGCAGCAGCCAGAAAGAUGGCUGCUGAUAUCAAAUUCAAUAGUUCGUUAACAUCUUCCGAUCCAUACUACAAGCCCGUUCUCAUAAUUGGACAGUUGCGUCACUUAAAUUUGUUAAAAUUUUCAAAUGUAUCGUGUAAAUUAGAUUCACGUGUCGAUGAGACCACAUUCAAGCAUGCCAUUGCUUGUUUACAUCCUUCACCUACGGAUAAGUGUUCACUGUAUUUGGAUUGUGCCACCGUAGCGGCUGUGCCUCUCAAAUGCUCCCGUCAUAAUACACCUUCGCGUUCGCACGCCAUUACUCGUCUAGUUCGGACGCACAUUAUGCACGCCAAUGAAGAGAGUGUUGUUAUUGUGUGUGAUCGUGGCGAUCUUUUUGCUAGUGCUUGUGCUGUAGCGCGGGCUUUUCCACUGUAUUCUCGAAAAACUAGUGGUGGCCAAAGUAAAUCUGAAAAUUAUUCUCAAGAUGAGGUUAUGGAUAACGAUGACAACUACGACAGUGCCAAGCCCAUAAUAAAUGUUGAAUUUAUUAUCAUUGAAAAGGAUGGACAAGUUUGCGAAGAGCCCCUAAACUCCACGGAUAUUUUAUGUAUUGAAGAGGCGGCGCGUGGUAUACGUUUAGCGGCACGUAUCGUAGAUAUGCCCUGCAAUGAAAUGAACGUAAGUCAUUUUGUGAAAGAAGCUGAAAUCAUAGCAAAAGAAUUAUGCAUAAAGCCCACUGUGAUACGUGGGGAAGAGUUGCGUGAACGCGGAUUUGGUGGAAUAUAUGGUGUUGGCAAAGCAGCCGCUGUGCCACCGGCUUUGGUUGUACUCUCCUAUGAACCAAAAGGCGCCCAGGACACUGUUGCUUUGGUCGGCAAGGGUAUUGUUUAUGAUACAGGCGGCUUAAGCAUUAAAGGCAAGACAGCUAUGCCGGGUAUGAAGCGUGAUUGUGGCGGUGCUGCGGCUAUUUUGGGUGCCUUUUAUGCGGCCAUAAAAUGCGGCUUCAAAGAAAACUUACAUGCCGUUUUAUGUUUGGCGGAGAAUGCGGUGGGUCCGAACGCAACGCGUCCAGAUGAUGUGCACACUUUGUAUUCUGGUCGUACUGUUGAAAUUAACAACACUGAUGCUGAAGGGCGUCUCGUAUUGGCUGAUGGUGUUAGUUACGCUCACAAGGAUCUGAAAGCAAACAUUAUUCUGGAUAUGGCUACUUUAACCGGUGCUCAGGGCAUAGCAACGGGCAAACUGCACGGUGCCAUACUCACCAACACCGAAGAAUGGGAAACGAAAGCGUUGGAAGCUGGUCGUAGAUCUGGUGAUUUAUUAGCUCCAAUAAUUUACUUACCGGAAUUGCAUUUUUCGGAAUUUGCGUCAGCUAUAGCCGAUAUGAAGAACUCCGUUGCGGAUCGUAAUAACGCUCAGCCGUCCUGUGCUGGUGUCUUUAUUGGCGCUCAUCUAGGGUUCGACUAUCCCGGUGUUUGGAUGCAUGUCGAUAUGGCUACUCCAGUAUCGACGGGUGAACGUGCUACCGGCUAUGGCGUAGCGCUCUUACUAACACUCUUCGGCAACUAUACAAAAUGCAGUCUGCUGCAAUCGAUUGCACCCAACGAUGCGGAACCGCCAACGAAGCGCGUUUGUCGUGAUUAGGCAGCAACAAAAAUGUUACAAUCCCAGUAUGACUUAUUCCCGAAAUAUGAAAUACAUCACCAAGCGAAGUACGGUAGCAUGAAACGAAGAGGCGUCCGUCCAGCUUUGCUUGAUGGGAGAGAACAACAAUGCCAGUAAUCGCUUCCAUCACGUUUUACGUUAUUUCGCAGGGGGUUUUUUACUUUAUUUUCGGUUUAUUACUAUUUUCGACUUUUUUGUGUGGUUCGGUCUAACCAAUGUGUACACUUUUGAGCGCGUUUUCAAUUUCAAUUGUAAACGAUAUUAUUCGCAAAAUUCUACUUACUCUUCUUUAUCUUGUAUUAUGAAGUAAAAGGAAUAAACUUAUAUAAAAAUAAAAACGAAA
rnacentral:misc_RNA from 1 species